rnacentral:rRNA from 1 species
CCUACGGGAGGCAGCAGUGGGGAAUAUUGGGCAAUGGGCGCAAGCCUGACCCAGCAACGCCGCGUGAAGGAAGACGGCUUUCGGGUUGUAAACUUCUUUUGUUAGGGAAGAGUAGAAGACGGUACCUGACGAAUAAGCCACGGCUAACUACGUGCCAGCAGCCGCGGCAAUACGUAGGUGGGAAGCGUUGUCCGGAUUUACUGGGUGUAAAGGGCGUGUAGCCGGGUUGACAAGUCAGAGGUGAAAUCCUGCGGCUUAACCGCAGAACUGCAUUUGAAACUGUUGCUCUAGAGUACUGAUGAGGCAGACGGAAUUAGUAGUGUAGCGGUGAAAUGCUUAGAUAUUAGGCAGAACACCGAUGGCGAAGGCAGUCUGCUGAACAGCAACUGACGGUGAGGCGCGAAAGCGUGGGGAGCGAACAGGAUUAGAUACCCCAGUAGUC